rnacentral:rRNA from 1 species
GAUGAACGCUGGCGGCGUGCCUAAUACAUGCAAGUCGAGCGAACGGACGAGGAGCUUGCUUCCCUGACGUUAGCGGCGGACGGGUGAGUAACACGUGGAUAACCUAUCUAUAAGACUGGGAUAACUUCGGGAAACCGGAGCUAAUACCGGACAAUAUAUUGAACCGCGUGGUUCAAAAGUGAAAGACGGUUUUGCUGUCACUUAUAGAUGGAUCCGCGCUGCAUUAGCUAGUUGGUAAGGUAACGGCUUACCAAGGCAACGAUGCAUAGCCGACCUGAGAGGGUGAUCGGCCACACUGGAACUGAGACACGGUCCAGACUCCUACGGGAGGCAGCAGUAGGGAAUCUUCCGCAAUGGGCGAAAGCUUGACGGAGCAACGCCGCGUGAGUGAUGAAGGUCUUCGGAUCGUAAAACUCUGUUAUUAGGGAAGAACAAAUGUGUAAGUAACUAUGCACGUCUUGACGGUACCUAAUCAGAAAGCCACGGCUAACUACGUG